rnacentral:rRNA from 1 species
CAGUCGCCACGGUAAUACGUAGGGUGCGAGCGUUAAUCGGAAUUACUGGGCGUAAAGCGGGCGCAGACGGUUACUUAAGCAGGAUGUGAAAUCCCCGGGCUCGACCUGGGAACUGCGUUCUGAACUGGGUGACUAGAGUGUGUCAGAGGGAGGUAGAAUUCCACGUGUAGCAGCGAAAUGCGUAGAGAUGUGGAGGAAUACCGAUGGCGAAGGCAGCCUCCUGGGAUAACACUGACGUUCAUGCCCGAAAGCGUGGGUAGCAAACAGGAUUAGAGACCCCUGUAGUCCCUGUCUCUUAUAC